UAAGCGGAGGAAAAGAAACUAACAAGGAUUCCCCUAGUAACUGCGAGUGAAGCGGGAAAAGCUCAAAUUUAAAAUCUGGUGGUCUUUGGCCAUCCGAGUUGUAAUUUAGAGAAGCGUCUUNCGCGCUGGACCGUGCACAAGUCUCCUGGAAUGGAGCGUCAUAGAGGGUGAGAAUCCCGUCUUUGGCAUGGAAUCCCAGGGCUUCUGUGAUGCGCUCUCGACGAGUCGAGUUGUUUGGGAAUGCAGCUCAAAAUGGGUGGUGAACUCCAUCUAAAGCUAAAUAUUGGCGAGAGACCGAUAGCGAACAAGUACCGUGAGGGAAAGAUGAAAAGCACUUUGGAAAGAGAGUUAAACAGUACGUGAAAUUGUUGAAAGGGAAACGUUUGAAGUCAGUCGCGUCGGCCGAGACUCAACCUUGCUAUCUUGCUGGGUGCACUUCUCGGUCGACGGGUCAGCAUCAAUUUUGACCGUCGGAUAAAGGCUGAGGGAACGUGGCAUCCUUCGGGGUGUGUUAUAGCCCUCGGUUCGCAUACGACGAUUGGGAUUGAGGAACUCAGCACGCCUUCAUUGGUCGGGGUAUCUACCCACGUUAACGUGCUUAGGAUGCUGGCAUAAUGGCUUUAAGCGACC
rnacentral:rRNA from 1 species